AGGGUUUGAUCAUGGCUCAGAAUGAACGCUGGCGGCAUGCCUAACACAUGCAAGUCGAACGAGAUCUUCGGAUCUAGUGGCGCACGGGUGAGUAACGCGUGGGAACCUACCUUUUAGUACGGGACAACGUUUGGAAACGAACGCUAAUACCGUAUACGCCCUCCGGGGGAAAGGUCAGCCGCUAAAAGAGGGGCCCGCGUCUGAUUAGCUUGUUGGUAAGGUAAUGGCUUACCAAGGCUACGAUCAGUAGCUGGUCUGAGAGGAUGAUCAGCCACACUGGGACUGAGACACGGCCCAGACUCCCACGGGAGGCAGCAGUGGGGAAUAUUGGACAAUGGAGGCAACUCUGAUCCAGCAAUGCCGCGUGUGUGAUGAAGGCCCUAGGGUUGUAAAGCACUUUCAACGGUGAAGAUGAUGACGGUAGCCGUAGAAGAAGCCCCGGCUAACUUCGUGCCAGCAGCCGCGGUAAUACGAAGGGGGCGAGCGUUAUUCGGAAUUAUUGGGCGUAAAGGGCUCGCAGGCUGCUUGAACAGUUAGACGUGAAAUCCCCGGGCUCAACCUGGGAACUGCGUUUAAUACUAGCAAGCUAGAGAAAUAGAGAGGAAAGUGGAACUCCCAGUGUAGAGGUGAAAUUCGUAGAUAUUGGGAAGAACACCAGUGGCGAAAGCGACUUUCUGGCUAUUUUCUGACGCUGAGGAGCGAAAGCGUGGGGAGCAAACAGGAUUAGAUACCCUGGUAGUCCACGCCGUAAACGAUGUGUGCUAGAUGUUGGAGGGAUACCUUUCAGUGUCGCAGCUAACGCACUAAGCACACCGCCUGGGAAGUACGGUCGCAAGAUUAAAACUCAAAGGAAUUGACGGGGGCCCGCACAAGCGGUGGAGCAUGUGGUUUAAUUCGACGCAACGCGCAGAACCUUACCAGCCCUUGACAUGUGGAGUUUGGUUAUCAGAGAUGAUUUCCUUCAGUUCGGCUGGCUCCAACACAGGUGCUGCAUGGCUGUCGUCAGCUCGUGUCGUGAGAUGUUGGGUUAAGUCCCGCAACGAGCGCAACCCUCAUCUUUAGUUGCCAUCAGUUCGGCUGGGCACUCUAGAGAAACUGCCUGGGAUGACCAGGAGGAAGGCGAGGAUGACGUCAAGUCCUCAUGGCCCUUAUGGGCUGGGCUACACACGUGCUACAAUGGCGGUGACAAAGGGACGCAAUAGGGCAACCUGGAGCAAAUCCCUAAAAGCCGUCUCAGUUCGGAUUGUUCUCUGCAACUCGAGAGCAUGAAGUUGGAAUCGCUAGUAAUCGUAGAUCAGCAUGCUACGGUGAAUACGUUCCCGGGCCUUGUACACACCGCCCGUCACACCAUGGGAGUUGGUUUUACCCGAAGACGGUAUCCUAACCUUUUAGGAGGGAGCCGGCCACGGUAGGGUCAGCGACUGGGGUGAAGUCGUAACAAGGUAGCCGUA
rnacentral:rRNA from 1 species